rnacentral:rRNA from 1 species
GUCGUAACAAGGUUUCCGUAGGUGAACCUGCGGAAGGAUCAUUCAUAAUAAGUGUUUUAUGGCACUUUUUAAAUCCAUAUCCACCUUGUGUGCAAUGUCAGUCGAUCUUCUUCAUGGAGAUCGACCAAACAUCAACCUUUAUUUUUUAACUCUUUGUCUGAAAAAUAUUAUGAAUAAACAAUUCAAAAUACAACUUUCAACAACGGAUCUCUUGGCUCUCGCAUCGAUGAAGAACGCAGCGAAAUGCGAUACGUAAUGUGAAUUGCAGAAUUCAGUGAAUCAUCGAAUCUUUGAACGCAUAUUGCGCUCUUUGGUAUUCCGAAGAGCAUGCUUGUUUGAGUAUCAGUAAACACCUCAAAGCUUUUGGAUUUUUUAAUCGAAAAGCUUUGGACUUGAGCAAUCCCAACACCAAUCUUUUUGAGAUCGGUGGCGGGUUGCUUGAAAUGCAGGUGCAGCUGGACAUUCUCCUGAGCUAAAAGCAUAUUCAUUUAGUCCCGUCAAACGGAUUAUUACUUUUGCUGCAGCUAACAUAAAGGGAGUUUGACCGUAUUGGCUGACUGAUGCAGGAUUUCACAAGGGUCGGCAACNGAUUCUUGUUAAACUCGAUCUCAAAUCAAGUAAGACUACCCGCUGAACUUAAG